AGUGAACGCUGGCGGCAGGCCUAAUACAUGCAAGUCGAACGGCAGCACAGCAGAGCUUGCUCUGUGGGUGGCGAGUGGCGGACGGGUGAGGAAUACAUGGGAAUCUGCCCAGUCGUGGGGGAUAACGUAGGGAAACUUACGCUAAUACCGCAUGCGCCCUUCGGGGGAAAGCCGGGGACCUUCGGGCCUGGCGCGAUUGGAUGAGCCCAUGUCGGAUUAGCUAGUUAGCGGGGUAAAGGCCCACCAAGGCGACGAUCCGUAGCUGGUCUGAGAGGAUGAUCAGCCACACUGGAACUGAGACACGGUCCAGACUCCUACGGGAGGCAGCAGUAGGGAAUAGUGGACAAUGGGCGAAAGCCUGAUCCAGCCAUGCCGCGUGAGUGAAGAAGGCCUUCGGGUUGUAAAGCUCUUUUGUCCGGAAAGAAAAGCAUCCAGUUAAUACCUGGGUGUCCUGACGGUACCGGAAGAAUAAGCACCGGCUAACUUCGUGCCAGCAGCCGCCGUAAUAC
rnacentral:rRNA from 1 species